rnacentral:rRNA from 1 species
UACGAACCGUCCAAGCGUUAUUCGGAAUUACUGGGCUUAAAGGGUGCGUAGGCGGCGCGGAAAGUUGGGUGUGAAAUCCCUCGGCUUAACCGAGGAACUGCGCCCAAAACUACCGUGCUCGAGGGAGAUAGAGGUGAGCGGAACUUAGGGUGGAGCGGUGAAAUGCGUUGAUAUCCUAAGGAACACCGGUGGCGAAAGCGGCUCACUGGAUCUUUUCUGACGCUGAGGCACGAAAGCUAGGGUAGCGAACGGG